GAAAUGAUUGGAGAAGAAAAUGAAACGAUAAGUUAAAGAAGUUUGCCCCAUUAGGGAGCAUUGGAAACAUUCACUCUUACAGUUACCGAGUAUUUGCCAGUUGUUAACCAUAAGUUUAAUAUUAAAUCUAUAUUUAUCGUUGUUUUGUUUCAUGUCUAUUGUAUGCGAUGUAAGCACAAUCUUGAGUCAGUUUUAUUCCCAGCAGUCCUUUACUGGAAAGGAAGGGAUGGUAGUACGGUACUAACACAAUUUUAUUCAACUCCCAACUAGUCCGCUCAUUGAAAAAAAGAGAGGAAAAAUUCAAGCCCAACUGGGAGCUUCUUUUGUGGAUCUCUAAGUUUGCAUCAAACUAUGUUCGGUUAAGGAUCUCUUCACCUUUUUGUUGCAACAAUUUUGAUUUCUCUAUUACUUUCCCCAUGCAGUUAAAGAGGUUAGAGCUGAAGCUGAAGCAGUUCGCAGAGGUGGAGACCUUGUUAAUGAAAGAAUGUGAACAACUGGAGAGAACAAGGCAACGGUUUGCUGCAGAGCGUGCUCGGAUGAUGACAGUUCAACCUGGUUCAGUUCGAGUAUCCCGACCAAUGGGUGUGUCUGGUGCUGGUUCACCUGUGGUCAGUAACACAGGAAAUAGUAGGCAACAAGUUGCUUCAGGUCCUCUACAACAAAGUUUUAUUUCUGGAUAUGGAAACAACCAACCAAUGCAUCCCCACAUGUCAUUUAUGCAGCAACAAGGGAUGUAUGGAUUUGGCCCUCGGCUGCCUCUCUCAGCGAUACACCCGUCCUCUUCAACACCCGGUAUGUUUAAUGCUCAUUUGCUGCAGAACGUGCUCGGAUGAUGACAGUUCAACCUGGUUCAGUUCGAGUAUCCCGACCAAUGGGUGUGUCUGGUGCUGGUGCACCAGUGGUCAGUAACACAGGAAAUAGUAGGCAACAAGCUGUUUCGGGUCCUCUACAACAAAAUUUUAUUUCUGGAUAUGGAAACAACCAACCAAUGCAUCCUCACAUGUCAUUUAUGCCGCAACAAGGGAUGUAUAGAUU
rnacentral:lncRNA from 1 species